rnacentral:rRNA from 2 species
GCGACCCCAGGUCAGGCGGGGCUACCCGCUGAGUUUAAGCAUAUCAAUAAGCGGA